UACGUAGGGUGCAAGCGUUGUCCGGAAUUAUUGGGCGUAAAGAGCUUGUAGGCGGUUUGUCGCGUCUGCUGUGAAAUUUCGGGGCUCAACCCCGAACUUGCAGUGGGUACGGGCAGACUAGAGUGUGGUAGGGGAGACUGGAAUUCCUGGUGUAGCGGUGAAAUGCGCCAGAUAUCAGGAGGAACACCGGUGGCGAAGGCGGGAUCUCUGGGCCGAGUACUGACGCUGAGGAGCGAAAGCGUGGGGAGCGAACAGG
rnacentral:rRNA from 1 species